UACGUAGGGGGCUAGCGUUGUCCGGAUUUAUUGGGCGUAAAGAGCGUGUAGGCGGCCAGGUAGGUCUGCUGUGAAAACUCGAGGCUCAACCUCGAGACGUCGGUUGAAACCGUAUGGCUAGAGUCCGGAAGAGGAGAGUGGAAUUCCCGGUGUAGCGGUGAAAUGCGCAGAUAUCGGGAAGAACACCCGUGGCGAAGGCGGCUCUCUGGGCCGUAACUGACGCUGAGGAGCGAAAGCGUGGGGAGCGAACAGG
rnacentral:rRNA from 1 species